GUGGCGAACGGGUGAGUAACACGUGAGCAAUCUGCCCUUGACUCUGGGAUAACUGCGGGAAACUGUAGCUAAUACCGGAUAUUACCUUGGAAGGCAUCUUCUGGGGUGGAAAGAAUUUUGGUCAAGGAUGAGCUCGCGGCCUAUCAGCUAGUUGGUGAGGUAAUGGCUCACCAAGGCGACGACGGGUAGCCGGCCUGAGAGGGUGACCGGCCACACUGGGACUGAGACACGGCCCAGACUCCUACGCGAGGCAGCAGUGGGGAAUAUUGCACAAUGGGCGCAAGCCUGAUGCAGCAACGCCGCGUGAGGGACGACGGCCUUCGGGUUGUAAACCUCUUUUAGUAGGGAAGAAGCGACUGGGUUUUCCUGGGAGUGACGGUACCUGCAGAAAAAGCACCGGCUAACUACGUGCCAGCAGCCGCGGUAAUACGUAGGGUGCAAGCGUUGUCCGGAAUUAUUGGGCGUAAAGAGCUCGUAGGCGGUUUGUCGCGUCUGCUGUGAAAACCCGAGGCUCAACCUCGGGCCUGCAGUGGGUACGGGCAGACUAGAGUGCGGUAGGGGAGAUUGGAAUUCCUGGUGUAGCGGUGGAAUGCGCAGAUAUCAGGAGGAACACCAAUGGCGAAUGCAGAUCUCUGGGCCGUAACUGACGCUGA
rnacentral:rRNA from 1 species